rnacentral:rRNA from 1 species
UACGAACCGUGCGAACGUUGUUCGGAAUCACUGGGCUUAAAGGGCGCGUAGGCGGUUCGGCAAGUCCGGGGUGAAAGCCCCCAGCUCAACUGGGGAACGGCCUUGGAAACUGCCGGUCUAGAGGGAGGUAGGGGCAUGUGGAACUUCGGGUGGAGCGGUGAAAUGCGUUGAUAUCCGAAGGAACGCCGGUGGCGAAAGCGACGUGCUGGAUCUCUUCUGACGCUGAGGCGCGAAAGCUAGGGGAGCAAACGGG